rnacentral:sRNA from 1 species
GCUGGUUGUGGUGGCGCAUGCCUGUAAUCUCAGUGGCUUGGGAGGCUGAGACAGGAGGAUCGUGAGUUCAAAGCCAGCCUUGGCAAAAAGCAAGACUCUAAGCAACUGAGUAAGACCCUGUCUCUA